rnacentral:rRNA from 2 species
CCUAGUAUAAGCAUUAUACCGUGAAACUGCGAAUGGCUCAUUAAAUCAGUUAUCGUUUAUUUGAUAGUACCUUACUACAUGGAUAACCGUGGUAAUUCUAGAGCUAAUACAUGCUAAAAACCUCGACUUCGGAAGAGGUGUAUUUAUUAGAUAAAAAACCAAUGCCCUUCGGGGCUCCUUGGUGAUUCAUAAUAACUAAACGAAUCGCAUGGCCUUGCGCCGGCGAUGGUUCAUUCAAAUUUCUGCCCUAUCAACUUUCGAUGGUAGGAUAGUGGCCUACCAUGGUUUCGACGGGUGACGGGGAAUUAGGGUUCGAUUCCGGAGAGGGAGCCUGAGAAACGUGAGUUUUAGACACCUUUACCUCUACUUUAUCGAAUUUUAUCACUAAUAUUUUUUUAGGGCUACCACAUCCAAGGAAGGCAGCAGGCGCGCAAAUUACCCAAUCCCGACACGGGGAGGUAGUGAGUAGCAUCCCAACACUUAUCUUUGUAUGUGUUGAAUACUAAUUCUUUUCUCUCUAGGUGACAAUAAAUACUGAUACAGGGCUCUUUUGGGUCUUGUAAUUGGAAUGAGUACAAUUUAAAUCUCUUAACGAGGAACAACUGGAGGGCAAGUCUGGUGAAUUUUACAACAGUAUUUUGUUAAAAAAUCUGCUGUGCGCCAGAGAUAGUAGGGCCUCUUUGCUGCCUAAACUUUAGGCAGGCUUCCAAGGGGGUUAUGCCUGCUAGUCGAGUAUCCUUAAUAGUGAUGGGUGGAUACCGGCGAGGUGACCUGGUACGGGGAAGCCUAAGGCCUAAAUAGCCUAUGGUAAUCCCGUGGCGAGCUACUCAUGUAGCCGUCGUAACGCGCGGAAAGGCACCGGCUAUUAUUUAAUAGCUCAAGGGACGUGCUGUCCUAUCCGAAAGGAUGCUCCAAACUAGAGCACCCAUUGUGUAAAGGUUUGGGGGGGUUUUUUUUCCCAAAAAACCUGGAUUAUUUUAAACGGCCAGCAGCCGCGGUAAUUCCAGCUCCAGUAGCGUAUAUUAAAGUUGUUGCAGUUAAAAAGCUCGUAGUUGAACUUUGGGCCUGGCUGGUCGGUCCGCCUCACCGCGUGUACUGGUCCGGCCGGGCCUUUCCUUCUGGGGAUCCACAUGCCCUUCACUGGGCGUGCUGGGGAACCAGGACUUUUACUUUGAAAAAAUUAGAGUGUUCAAAGCAGGCCUUUGCUCGAAUACAUUAGCAUGGAAUAAUAGAAUAGGACGUGCGGUUCUAUUUUGUUGGUUUCUAGGACCGCCGUAAUGAUUAAUAGGGAUAGUCGGGGGUAUCAGUAUUCAAUUGUCAGAGGUGAAAUUCUUGGAUUUAUUGAAGACUAACUACUGCGAAAGCAUUUACCAAGGAUGUUUUCAUUAAUCAGUGAACGAAAGUUAGGGGAUCGAAGACGAUCAGAUACCGUCGUAGUCUUAACCGUAAACGAUGCCGACUAGGGAUCGGGCGAUGUUAUCAUUUUGACUCGCUCGGCACCUUACGAGAAAUCAAAGUUUUUGGGUUCUGGGGUAAGUUUGAUAUUACUAUUAUGUGCUUUUGAAAAUUUAUACUAAUUGCUUUAUAGGG